CGCCGCCCUCCCCUGAGGGGCGACGCUUUGCCCCCCGUUCCCCUCAGGCGUUUGGUGCGUAAAGUUCGUGGGUUUUAAGGCAAUAAAUGCAUGUUUUCCCCUCUCCUGGACCAGCCCAGCAUGAGUGCGGGACCUGCGCGUUUUCCACACGUAAAAACAUGGAAAACCAGACGGUUCGGCACCAAUCCGGGACAUAAAUUACAUGGGACCCGAGCCGGAGGUAACCAGGAGAGAGCCAGACCCCUGAGGCACCACAGGACGUGAAACAUGGGUUCUGCAUCCAGUUUCAGGCAAAUGCAGCAGUGCCUUGGGGUGAGGUGCCUCCAGAAGGCUCCUGAAGAGGCACCUGCUGUAGGAAGGGAGCAGUGGGAACUUAGACACAAGAGCAGUGAGCUUGCUGUGAGCAGUUUCCACACCAGAAAGAGGAAGAACUUGGUCUUGUUCCUGGCUACAGGCGGUUCUGACACAUGAAAGGUUUCACUCAUUCUCACUUGAGACAAGUGAAUGAUGGCUGUCCCAUUAAAUGUGACUAAGGUAAGAUAUCUUGCACUUCACCUAAAGUUGGCACCAGAAGAAGGGUAGGUUUAGA